rnacentral:lncRNA from 1 species
UUUGAUUCCCCAAAAAACAUGGGAUUUUAUCGCAAAUACUUGUUUCGGAAUUUAGCUGACUGAGUUUAGACAAUACUGCCAUAUAUGCAUGUAGCACUAAAACAACAUCUGUGCUCAAAUGUAAGAUUAAUAUUUAUAUGAUUAGGGUUAAGUCUUUUCUAAUGUGGCGAAUAAUAUUUUUUAUUUGUUGUUCAAUUUAUUAAAUUCAUUUUACUCAAAUGUAAUGAAACAUACAAAAU